GCGCCUGUAGCUCAGCCGGACAGAGCAGCGGAUUUCUAAUCCGAGCGGAUUUCUAAUCCGCCGGUCGGGGGUUCGAGUCCCUCCAGGCGCGCCA
rnacentral:tRNA from 1 species